GCCCAAAUUUUGAGAUGGGCUAGGGCUUACGGACACUCUUUCAUCGAUCGUAUCGAGGUUGUUACCGGGAGACCAAACGGAGGAGGAUGAUGGCGAGGAGGAGGAAUGACAUUUCGAUCCAUCCGAUGGAUGUGCAGGUUCAAUUCUGGCGAUAAUACCACCUGAGCGUGUAUGGCUGAGGAUGGAAGUUUGCAUUCUGGCUGCACUAGUCAAUCUUUUCUGAUCAUUUAAAUCAGCUAAGGGCCAAGGCUCAAUUUGGAUUCUUUCCAGCUGGGAAUGUCCAAUCUGAUAUGCAUUCUGUGAGAGUCACAGAAUAAGAUGCGUGGAAUUCCCUAUGGUUGGCAAGCUGAUGCAUCAAAUUUGUCUUCUGCAUACUGUAGGAGCCAAAUCCUUGUUUGCUCUGAAGUCACAAAGGACACAUCUGCUCAUUCUUCAUAGCAGUGAUGCUCAUAGCUUCAUGAAUCAUGGUGUCCCUGCACCCGUCAUGCUUACCAGAUUGUUGAUAACAAACAGGUAAAACUGCAGUCAUAUGAAAAAGAUUGGCAUCUUUGUUAUCACAUACUUGUUUGCUAAUGAUUUAUGACAGUACUUCGAGUUUUGUCAUCUAUUUAACACCACUUUAUUAAUAUAAUUAGCAUAAUCUAGUUGCUAUCUCCAUUUUAAGGAUUGGAAGUUCAAGUUAGAGACAGUUCUUUUGUUGCAGGAAAAGUAAAGGAAUAAGGCUGACAAUUGAUCAUCUUUCUUUUGAUUUUUUUCUUGUUAGUGUACAUGUAGCUGGAGAAUACAUAAUGCACAAGAGUUCUAUCUUUGGUUAAUCUUCUUCUUACCCAGUUUCAUUAGUGUACAUGUAGCUAUCAGAUGAACAAACAAAAAAUUGACAGUAAAAACUCAUGUCUUUAGAACUACAUACAGUUUGUGUGAUGACCUUCGUGGACAUCCAUGUUGACUGCCAUAGGAAUUGAUAGAUUUUGCAUCUCACUGUUACCAUGGCACAUGAACAAGGAAGAUUCAGCAUACACAAGGUAGAAAUUCUGGAGACAAGUGAUUGCAAAGCCAUGAAAGCAAGGAUAUAUAAGAAUAAAGUGAAAGACACUGGUUACUACAAGCUUUUGUUUUUGACGCUCCACAGAAUAUGCAAGGUUGAAGAGCUGAUAGAAUUUGUAUAUCAUCAGCCCUAGAUGAACGAGAAAAGAAGUAUAAGAUGCUCGAAGCCCAGAGAUACAGAGUGGAACCUCUUGCCAUGGAUGUCUGAAGCUUGCAAUUCCUGCCGCAGUUGCUGGUUCUGGUACAAAGAACUCACAGUGUUCAUAGCGGAUUGGUUUCCUGUCUUGAUGUCACCAUACAUGGGUUGGCUUUGGAAUGCACCAUGAAGGUACUCUGACCAUUUGAGGUCCUCCAUCUCGUCUCCGAGGUGGGCUUGCACAUCUUUCUCAGAUGUCAAUUCUGAGCAGGAGAAGACGCCACUGUCGAAGGAGCAAGUGCUCUGCAGCAUGAUGCGACCACCAUCAUUUACGCUUUUCCGGUUGCCAGUGUACCAGCCGGGGAUUGUAUCAUCUUCUUCUUCAUAGCUUGGUGGCAGAGCCAUGGAAGUCGAAAGAGUUGUGAUUGGGGUGGAUAUUGCAUUGCAGUUCAACCAGAGGAGUGGAUUCGAGUUGAUCGUGAUGGAAGUCGCCUGACUGCUGCUGCUGUAGUCAGGAGCAAAGCUUACCUGUGGAAAAGGGAGAUAACCCAUUGAAUUGGAAGAACAGCAGCUUGAUGAACUCGUGAGGAACUGGUCCAAGAAUAUUUCUUUCUUCAAGGUGCUGCUCUCAUCCAUGGACUUAUCAAUCACCGACUGGAGAUCGCUGGAGUCAGAAUUCUUGUCGCUGUUGCUGGCCACCUUAUCAUCAUCACCACCAUCAACCUUGACAAGUGGCUUGUGGCUACUGGGGUCGAUACCUCUCUGUGUCAGCUUCUUCUUGAUGCUGGAAUUCCACAAAUUCUUGAUCUCGUUAUCCGUCCUCCCCGGCAAAUGUGCUGCAAUCUUUGACCAUCUGAUGAAGUAAAAGACAUGGAAGCAUCAGCUAAACUGAGCCCUCAUAGAACAUGGACUUCAUCGUUGGAAAAGACAAGGGGUGUUGCUUGUACCUGUUUCCCAGGACUGCAUGGAGUUCGAUGAUGAGGUCCUCCUCCUGCUGUGAGAAUGUACCUCUCUUGAGGUCAGGCCUCAGGUAGUUGAUCCACCUCAAUCUGCAGCUCUUUCCACACCUUUGAAGACCUGGCAAUUCUUGCGUGCGUGAAGGACAUAAGACGGAGAGAGGAAAGCAUGCAACUGGCCAUCAUCACUUUAGCAUACCUGCUUGAUUAGGGACAGUGCUCCAACACCCAUGGCCAUACUUGUUAAUGUGCUUGAUGAGCUUCUCAUCUUCCUCAGGAGACCAGAGGCCUUUUCUUGGCUUCUGCUUGUGGCAGCAGGAGUGCCCUCCCAUUUGGCCGAUUGCCGCAAGAAGAAGGUUUCUUUAGUGAAUUAGGAUGUGGAGAAUUUUGAGAGUGGAAGAAAGAAUUUGUGGGAGGUUGAGGAACUGUAGUUGCAGUGGUGGGGUUGGAAUUAAGAAGUGGGCUGAGCUUAAAAGUAUAUGUGAGAGAGAAAGUUGACAAUCAAGUGGUUAGGUUUGAGUUGAGGUUUCUUCUUCCUCCUUCUCUCUCUCUCUCUCUCUCUCUCUCUUUCUGAAGUUACAUGGUUCGUCACCUUCUCAGGGUUGAUGCCUACUGUUACAGUGAUGGGGGCAGUAAGUCUGAUGUGAACCGAAGAAACCUUGAAGGUUGCAGUCAUGUCUAUCAGUAGAAGUAAUAACUGACUUGAGUUCCUAUCCUCAGAUUGGGUUUGAAGCAACCCAUGCAGCCCUUUCCUGCCAAUCCUACCACAAGCGUAUCAUACAAAGGCCAGUACAGAUUUGGAAACGGAGGAGCAAGAAAAUCUUCUGAUGGCCAGAAACUGGUUAGAGAACAGUUCUGUCAGAGUAGCAGUAAAGCUGUGUGUUGUUGGAACUAAAGAAAGACCAGGAAACAAGAUAUCCGUCUCAGACUUCCAACAGGAACUGAUUGCCAGAGGAAGCAGGGGCGUUUUUUAUCCUUUCUAUGGAAAGCUCCAUGAUUGAGUCGAUAGAACAAAAUCCUGUGUGCAUAUUGUAAGAGAAUUGGCAUCUUCCUUUAUAUUAGCAGUAUCACUGUUCUCAUGGGAACUUACAGGAACAUGAUUUUGGCCGUCAAUCCCACUUGGUAAAACUAAUCCGUUCUGUUCUA